AAAAAGGCAAACCAUGGGUUUCCAUGUCUAAUGUUUGACCGUCCGUCAUAUUUGAAAAAAAUUAAAAAGAUAAGUCACCCAUAAAGUAUUAUUCAUGUUUUAUCAUCUAACAACAAUGAAAAUACUAAUUAUAAAAAAAAAUUAUAUAAGACGAACAGUUAAACGUUGGACAUGGAAACCCGAGAUUUGUCUUUUU
rnacentral:pre_miRNA from 1 species